rnacentral:rRNA from 1 species
UGGGGAAUAUUGGACAAUGGGCGCAAGCCUGAUCCAGCCAUGCCGCGUGAGUGACGAAGGUCUUCGGAUUGUAAAGCUCUUUUCUGUGUGACGAGAACGGACGGUAGCACAGGAAUAAGUCUCGGCUAACUACGUGCCAGCAGCCGCGGUAAAACGUAGGAGACAAACGUUAUCCGGAGUUACUGGGCGUAAAGGGCGUGCAGGCGGCAGUCUAAGUCUGGCGUGAAAUAUCCCGGCUCAACCGGGGAAGGUCGUCGGAUACUGGGCAGCUAGAGGACGGUAGAGGCGUGUGGAAUUCCGGGUGUAGUGGUGAAAUGCGUAGAGAUCCGGAGGAACACCAGUGGCGAAGGCGACACGCUGGGCCGUACCUGACGCUAAGACGCGACAGCAUGGGGAGCAAACAGGAUUAGAUACCCGCGUAGUCCCUGAGCGGGCUGGCAAGGCGCAU